CGAAGGAAGGCGUGCGGCGUAAAGCCCCUUUUCGUGGGUAUAUUUCGUAUACAUUUAUCCAGCCACUCUUCGGCUUUUCAAGUAAAUAAUUGAAAUUGCGCAUACGUGGAGUCUUCUACAGAUUAAGUCAUGUAGCGCUUUCUUAAUUAAUUAUUUUCGACGAUGCAAACUAGAAUUAAAUUAUAUAACUGCCGGGUAGAAUAUCCGUCGUUCAGUUUUACGUUUGAACUGAGUUUUAAAGUUUAAACCUUCAAACGCGCAUUUUUCGUCCGGUAAAUUGUUCUAUAAUUUAUUCGGAAACAAAGCAUUAAAAAAUGUCGGUUGUGUAGCGUAUUUGAACGUGCAUAAUAAUAUCGCAUAAGAAGACAGCGGUCGAGAAAUACGUUUUAAACCUACGUGUACGGUAUAUAUUUUUUUGAAGUAAAUAAAAGUAUAAACAAAUACGAAAUAUUUUGUACCGUGUAUCUAUCUCACGGUAUCGAUAUUAUGUACACAUCACGUUCACGCGGGGAGAUUUAAAAUAAUUCUUUUUGGACUUUUACGGACU